rnacentral:rRNA from 1 species
UACGUAGGGUGCAAGCGUUAAUCGGAAUUACUGGCGUAAGCGUACGCAGGCGGCUAUGUAAGACAGGUGUGAAAUCCCCGGGCUUAACCUGGGAACUGCAUUUGUGACUGCAUAGCUAGAGUCUGUCAGAGGGGGGUGGAAUUCCACGUGUGAGCAGUGAAAUGCGUAGAGAUGAUGGAGGAACACCGAUGGCGAAGGCAGCCCCCUGGGAUAAGACGUGACGCCUCGAUGUACGAAAGCGUGGGAGCAACAGG